rnacentral:sRNA from 6 species
AUGUACCACUCGUCCACGCCGGUUUUGAGUGCACCGUCCGCACCCACCUGACGACUGCUCGCUACGUUGUAAGCC